rnacentral:rRNA from 1 species
CAAUAGCGUAUAUUAAAGUUGUUGCGGUUAAAAAGCUCGUAGUUGGAUUUCUGCCGAGGACGACCGGUCCGCCCUCUGGGUGAGUAUCUGGCUCGGCCUGGGCAUCUUCUUGGAGAACGUAGCUGCACUUGACUGUGUGGUGCGGUAUCCAGGACUUUUACUUUGAGGAAAUUAGAGUGUUUCAAGCAGGCUUACGCCUUGAAUACAUUAGCAUGGAAUAAUAAGAUAGGACCUCGGUUCUAUUUUGUUGGUUUCUAGAGCUGAGGUAAUGAUUAAUAGGGAUAGUUGGGGGCAUUCGUAUUUAACUGUCAGAGGUGAAAUUCUUGGAUUUGUUAAAGAUGGACUACUGCGAAAGCAUUUGCCAAGGAUGUUUNCAUUGA